rnacentral:rRNA from 1 species
AUUGAACGCUGGCGGAAUGCUUUACACAUGCAAGUCGAACGGCAGCAUAGGUGCUUGCACCUGAUGGCGAGUGGCGAACGGGUGAGUAAUAUAUCGGAACGUGCCCAGUCGUGGGGGAUAACGUAGUGAAAAUUACGCUAAUACCGCAUACGAUCUAAGGAUGAAAGCGGGGGAUCGCAAGACCUCGCGCGAUUGGAGCGGCCGAUAUCAGAUUAGGUAGUUGGUGAGGUAAAGGCUCACCAAGCCAACGAUCUGUAGCUGGUCUGAGAGGACGACCAGCCACACUGGAACUGAGACACGGUCCAGACUCCUACGGGAGGCAGCAGUGGGGAAUUUUGGACAAUGGACGCAAGUCUGAUCCAGCCAUUCCGCGUGCAGGACGAAGGCCUUCGGGUUGUAAACUGCUUUUGUACAGAACGAAAAGGUCUCUAUUAAUACUAGGGGCUCAUGACGGUACUGUAAGAAUAAGCACCGGCUAACUACGUGCCAGCAGCCGCCGUAA